GAUGAACGCUGGCGGCGUGCCUAACACAUGCAAGUCGAGCGAAUGGAUUAAGAGCUUGCUCUUAUGAAGUUAGCGGCGGACGGGUGAGUAACACGUGGGUAACCUGCCCAUAAGACUGGGGUAACUCCGGGAAACCGGGGCUAAUACCGGAUAACAUUUUGAACCGCAUGGUUCGAAAUUGAAAGGCGGCUUCGGCUGUCACUUAUGGAUGGACCCGCGUCGCAUUAGCUAGUUGGUGAGGUAACGGCUCACCAAGGCAACGAUGCGUAGCCGACCUGAGAGGGUGAUCGGCCACACUGGGACUGAGACACGGCCCAGACUCCUACGGGAGGCAGCAGUAGGGAAACUUCCGCAAUGGACGAAAGUCUGACGGAGCAACGCCGCGUGAGUGAUGAAGGCUUUCGGGUCGUAAAACUCUGUUGUUAGGGAAGAACAAGUGCUAGCUGAAUAAGCUGGCACCUUGACGGUACCUAACCAGAAAGCCACGGCUAACUACGUGCCAGCAGCCGCCGUAA
rnacentral:rRNA from 1 species